GCCUUUAUAGCUCAGUGGUAGAGCGCUUGACGUACGUCAUUACCCCAAUUAACUUUCUUACUAAGUCCUUACUCUAACAUUUCCCCAGUUGUAUCAUCUUAGGAUAUCAAGAGGUCCGUGGUUCAAUCCCGCGUGGAGGCA